rnacentral:rRNA from 1 species
GACGGGUGAGUAACGCGUGAGUAACCUGCCUUCAAGAGGGGGAUAACAUUCUGAAAAGGAUGCUAAUACCGCAUGAUAUAUCGGAACCACAUGGUUUUGAUAUCAAAGAUUUUAUCGCUUGAAGAUGGACUCGCGUCCGAUUAGUUUGUUGGUGAGGUAACGGCUCACCAAGACCGCGAUCGGUAGCCGGACUGAGAGGUUGAACGGCCACAUUGGGACUGAGACACGGCCCAGACUCCUACGGGAGGCAGCAUG